CUCCAUCAGUGGCAUCAAAGAUUUCACCGCAAUUGUCAAUGUUCACCAAACCAAGAUUUUCCGGAUCCCACAUUGCUGCAGCAAAGCCAAAUCUUAGUGUGGCUAGAAGACCAUCACAGGUUGACGUUCAGCCCAGUUCAGCAGUGUGUAGUGCUUCUACACCAAGCACGGCUACACAGGACCUUCAAGUUUCUGCCCCCGUCCUCACAUCCACUACGGCAGUGACCAGUUCCACAGAGCCGUCCGGCAUUGUCUCAGUAAGUAAUUUCAUAUUUUCUGUCCAAAAAAAGGUAAUU